rnacentral:rRNA from 1 species
CCUACGGGCGGCAGCAGUAGGGAAUUUUUCACAAUGGGCGAAAGCCUGAUGGAGCAACGCCGCGUGCAGGAUGAAGGCCUUCGGGUUGUAAACUGCUUUUAUAAGCGAGAAAUAUGAUGGUAACUUAUGAAUAAGGAUCGGCUAACUACGUGCCAGCAGCCGCGGUAAUACGUAUGGUGCAAGCGUUAUCCGGAUUUACUGGGUGUAAAGGGAGCGCAGGCGGCACGGCAAGCCUGAUGUGAAAGCCCGCGGCCCAACCGCGGGACUGCAUUGGGAACUACCGGGCUGGAGUGCCGGAGAGGUAGGCGGAAUUCCUAGUGUAGAGGUGAAAUGCGUAGAUAUUAGGAGGAACACCAGUGGCGAAGGCGGCCUACUGGACGGUGACUGACGCUGAGGCUCGAAAGCGUGGGGAGCAAACAGGAUUAGAUACCCGGGUAGUC